rnacentral:rRNA from 1 species
GACGAACGCUGGCGGCGUGCUUACACAUGCAAGUCGAACGGAAAGGCCCUGCUUUUGUGGGGUGCUCGAGUGGCGAACGGGUGAGUAACACGUGAGUAACCUGCCCUUGACUUUGGGAUAACUUCAGGAAACUGGGGCUAAUACCGGAUAGGAGCUCCUGCUGCAUGGUGGGGGUUGGAAAGUUUCGGCGGUUGGGGAUGGACUCGCGGCUUAUCAGCUUGUUGGUGGGGUAGUGGCUUACCAAGGCUUUGACGGGUAGCCGGCCUGAGAGGGUGACCGGCCACAUUGGGACUGAGAUACGGCCCAGACUCCUACGGGAGGCAGCAGUGGGGAAUAUUGCACAAUGGGCGGAAGCCUGAUGCAGCAACGCCGCGUGCGGGAUGACGGCCUUCGGGUUGUAAACCGCUUUCGCCUGUGACGAAGCGUGAGUGACGGUAAUGGGUAAAGAAGCACCGGCUAACUACGUGCCAGCAGCCGCGGUGAUACGUAGGGUGCGAGCGUUGUCCGGAUUUAUUGGGCGUAAAGGGCUCGUAGGUGGUUGAUCGCGUCGGAAGUGUAAUCUUGGGGCUUAACCCUGAGCGUGCUUUCGAUACGGGUUGACUUGAGGAAGGUAGGGGAGAAUGGAAUUCCUGGUGGAGCGGUGGAAUGCGCAGAUAUCAGGAGGAACACCAGUGGCGAAGGCGGUUCUUUGGGCCUUUCCUGACGCUGAGGAGCGAAAGCGUGGGGAGCGAACAGGCUUAGAUACCCUGGUAGUCCACGCUGUAAACGGUGGGUACUAGGUGUGGGGUCCAUUCCACGGGUUCCGUGCCGUAGCUAACGCUUUAAGUACCCCGCCUGGGGAGUACGGCCGCAAGGCUAAAACUCAAAGGAAUUGACGGGGCCCCGCACAAGCGGCGGAGCAUGCGGAUUAAUUCGAUGCAACGCGUAGAACCUUACCUGGGUUUGACAUGGAUCGGGAGUGCUCAGAGAUGGGUGUGCCUCUUUUGGGGUCGGUUCACAGGUGGUGCAUGCCUGUCGUCAGCUCGUGUCGUGAGAUGUUGGGUUAAGUCCCGCAACGAGCGCAACCCUUGUUCACUGUUGCCAGCACGUUAUGGUGGGGACUCAGUGGAGACCGCCGGGGUCAACUCGGAGGAAGGUGGGGAUGACGUCAAGUCAUCAUGCCCCUUAUGUCCAGGGCUUCACGCAUGCUACAAUGGCUGGUACAGAGAGUGGCGAGCCUGUGAGGGUGAGCGAAUCUCGGAAAGCCGGUCUCAGUUCGGAUUGGGGUCUGCAACUCGACCUCAUGAAGUCGGAGUCGCUAGUAAUCGCAGAUCAGCAACGCUGCGGUGAAUACGUUCCCGGGGCU